rfam:Equus caballus chromosome 23, whole genome shotgun sequence.
GAUGCGAAGAAGAAUAAAUGUCAUUCUGGUUCAAUGGUAGAGAUCACUGAUAAGACUUCUGUCUUCUUGCCACCAGAUACACUUUAUCUAAACCUAAACAAUUAAAGUGCACAUCAAAGAAGUGUUCUCUUGGCAAGAGAGG